GGUGGUUACAGUCUGGAGGAAACACCUGAUCCCAUUCCGAACUCAGCAGUUAAGCUCUAAGACGCUAAUGGUACUGCGGGGGCAGCUCCGUGGGAGAGUCAGUCGCCGCCA
rnacentral:rRNA from 1 species